rnacentral:tRNA from 1 species
GGGGAUUUAGCUCAGCGACAUAAGCGCCUGCCUUGCAAGCAGGCAGUUGUGAGUUCAAUCCCCA